UUCUUUUUCUCUCUGUCUCUCUCUUUCUCUCUCGCGAUAGAAGUGCCGAAUCGACAAAGGAAGAAGAUGGAAUCGAAGGAUAUUGAAUCAGAGGAGGUUCGGGUCGGAGGUGAGGCGUAGCAGAGGAGAUUGAAUCAGCGGAGGAGAUUUCGCGAUUAGGUACAGAGCGUUUGAUGAGUAUGAAGGGAUAGAAGUAGCAUGGAACCAAGUAAUGCUUCGAAAUUUCACAAGGAACCCUGAGGAAUUAGAGAAGUUCUUCAGAGAGAUUCAUCUUCUCAAGAAUUUGAAUCUCUCAAAACAUUAUGAAAUUCUACACUUCUUGGGUUGAUACUAACAAUUUAUCAAUCAAUUUCGUCACUGAGCUCUUCACCUCUGGUACUCUCAGACAGUAAGUGGUUUGUUCCUUAGACAACCUCUGAUUGAUCAGUAUGAGUCAUCGUCACAGAUCUGUGAGAUUGAUCUUUUCGCUAAUGAUGAUGAGGACCAUGUUGAUAUUUCGAUUAAAGGGAAGAGAAAUGAUAGUGAUGGGAUAUUUUUGAGGAUCAGAAUCUCUGAUGCAGAAGGACGAAUAAGGAACAUUUACUUCCCUUUUGAGACAGCUAUUGAUACUGCAUUGAGUGUAGCAAAAGAGAUGGUAUCAGAGCUAGACAUAACAUAUCAAGAUGUUGCUAAAAUCGCUGAGAUGAUCGAUUCAGAGAUUGCUGCGUUGGUACCUGAUUGGAAAACUGAUACAGAAUGUUCUCAAAAUGUGAUCAAAAACAAUAACAAUGCAGGGUUCUGUGGAGAUUGUGCUUCAAACGGGUAUAUACAAGAAGAGACUGUAUCAUCAUCAGGAGAGAAACUGGUUUGUUGCUGUAAUUUUGGAUCAAAGCUAUUCUAGGUGGUUGUUUUAUUUCUCUCUUUGUUGUGAUUGUGAAUGCUAGUUGUUCCUUGUAUAAGCUUCAACAUAUGACAAUAUUUGGAAAUUGAACAACUCAAUAUUACUAUCAAGAUUACAAUUAAUCUUUUUCUA